CCCGGACCAAGGCGCCCGCCGGAGGACCAACCAAAACUCUUAUUGUAUACCCCCUCGCGGGUUUUUUUAUAAUCUGAGCCUUCUCGGCGCCUCUCGUAGGCGUUUCGAAAAUGAAUCAAAACUUUCAACAACGGAUCUCUUGGUUCUGGCAUCGAUGAAGAACGCAGCGAAAUGCGAUAAGUAAUGUGAAUUGCAGAAUUCAGUGAAUCAUCGAAUCUUUGAACGCACAUUGCGCCCGCCAGUAUUCUGGCGGGCAUGCCUGUCCGAGCGUCAUUUCAACCCUCGAACCCCUCCGGGGGGUCGGCGUUGGGGAUCGGCCCUGCCUUGGCGGUGGCCGUCUCCGAAAUACAGUGGCGGUCUCGCCGCAGCCUCUCCUGCGCAGUAGUUUGCACACUCGCAUCGGGAGCGCGGCGCGUCCACAGCCGUUAAACACCCAACUUCUGAAAUGUUGACCUCGGAUCAGGUAGGAAUACCCGCUGAACUUAAGCAUAUCAAUAAGCGGAA
rnacentral:rRNA from 1 species